GAGGGGUCCUGACAGUCAGCCAAGUGCCACCCCCAACCCUAGGUUCAGGUUUCACCAAAGCUACAGAUAUCCUCCAUGUCAGGCUUAGCCCUGGGCCCUCGGCCUCGUGCAGAGCAGGGCCUUAGUUACAGUAGUGGGGUUCUGACCUCAGCCAGGAGUCAGGGCUAGGACUCUGGGGGUCCAGGUUGGAAGGGGAGGUGGUGGUAGAGCUGGGGCAGGAUCUGCCAAUGAUGGCAGCCAUUCCUGUGUAUCCAUUCCCAGAUUAUGCCUUAACCCUCUCACUUUGCAGACAACCAGGAUUGGAGUUGCUGUUAAUGGGGUCCGCAAGCACUGCUCAGACAAGGAGGUGGUGUCCUUGGCCAAAGUCCUUAUCAAAAACUGGAAGCGGCUGCUAGACUCCCCUGGACCCCCAAAAGGAGAAAAAGGAGAGGAAAGAGAAAA
rnacentral:lncRNA from 1 species